UGGUGGGUAGUUUGACUGGGGCGGUCUCCUCCCAAAGCGUAACGGAGGAGCACGAAGGUUAGCUAAUCCUGGUCGGACAUCAGGAGGUUAGUGCAAUGGCAUAAGCUAGCUUGACUGCGAGCGUGACGGCGCGAGCAGGUGCGAAAGCAGGUCAUAGUGAUCCGGUGGUUCUGAAUGGAAGGGCCAUCGCUCAACGGAUAAAAGGUACUCCGGGGAUAACAGGCUGAUACCGCCCAAGAGUUCAUAUCGACGGCGGUGUUUGGCACCUCGAUGUCGGCUCAUCACAUCCUGGGGCUGAAGUAGGUCCCAAGGGUAUGGCUGUUCGCCAUUUAAAGUGGUACGCGAGCUGGGUUUAGAACGUCGUGAGACAGUUCGGUCCCUAUCUGCCGUGGGCGCUGGAGAAUUGAGGGGGGCUGCUCCUAGUACGAGAGGACCGGAGUGGACGCAUCACUGGUGUUCGGGUUGUCAUGCCAAUGGCACUGCCCGGUAGCUAAAUGCGGAAGAGAUAAGUGCUGAAAGCAUCUAAGCACGAAACUUGCCCCGAGAUGAGUUCUC
rnacentral:rRNA from 1 species